UUUGCCACAUCUCAUAGUUGAGGAUUGAAUCUUGCUUCUCAUUUAGUUAUACUCUCUCUCUCCUCUCAAAACCCUAAUUCGAACUCUCUCUCUUCUCUUCUCUGGCGAACACGACGACUAAACAAGAGCCAAUAAUUUUGAUCAAAAAUCAACGGAUUUGAAGACAAAUCAUAUACGGAAAUCAAAUUAUCGAGUUUUUUUUGUGCUUGAAGCAUUGUUUUGGGUUUUAUCUCAUCUUUUGUGACAAACAAUCUAAUUCGAUGGCUCGGUUUUGUUUGAUUAGAAGAAGAAUGAAGGUGUGCUUGGGUGACGGCUGGAUCUGGAUGUUAUUUAGGGUUUUGCUUGAAGUUUGCAGGGAAGCAACGGACUGGAACAAUCAAACAAGAAGGCAAAAAUUCGCAAGACAAAGAUGAUGUGCCGAUGUUAGUGAUGUCAAGAAGAAAAAGUCAAAUGAGAAAGAAAAAGUCAAUCGAGUGAAGAAGAUAAUGGAUGGAAAUUUUUGGUUAACAAAGCUCAAUGUUCACAAAAAUGUUUAAAUCCAUCAAGCUCUAAAGGUGCUAAAGGUAUGCAACGAUUGAGGCGUAGUCAUAACACGUGCUCUAAUAUAUGGCUAAUUUCAUCAGAAACUAUUUUUUUUCUGAUUUUUGUUUUUGGUAGCCAGCUUUUUAGUACAGAAUAACACAAGGGUUAAGAUAACCUAUUUUGGCUGUAAUUCUUAGAUCAACUUCGUAUCAAAAGGUGAUUUGGAUUACGAUUAUAUUGUCUUUCCAUAUCUUGAACUGGGUUAUUGUGGAUCUAGAGUCAAGCUCUUUUUGUCUCUCAGUUGAGCAAAGCUAUGAAGGAAACUAGCAAAGCAAGCAAAAUGGUUGGAGCGUGAAUGCUUGAGUCCACUUCGAUGUUUAUCAAAACCAAUUUCCUUAAGUGUGGAACUACAUGAACGAGGCCACGGAUGAAGAAAUAGUAAAUACAUUGAAGGAUUUGAUGCCAGUUUUUAACAAUUCUUCACAUAUGUUGUUAGUUUGGUGGAUGGGAGGAACAAUAUUGUUAUUUCUUUUGGGUGUGAAAAGCUUAAAAGCACCAGAAGAGCAUAUUAGCCUGGUCAUGCCUAAUUCAUCUAGCAUAGGUGCGAUGUAAUUAGGGGAGAGUGACUAAGCUUGAUAAAAAGAUCAUUAAGAAGCGGGUCAAGAAAUUCAAGAGGCCCCAAAGUUACUGGAAAAUAUAUGUCAAGGUACUUUUUUCUUUUCUUAUUUAUACGAUUAUGUCGUCUAUGCAUUUGCAAUGUUAUUUAAGGGUUGACCACACGGCUGACAUAUUGUGUUUUGUUCCAUAUAGUUAGAAAUAUAUUUGCAAUGUUAUUUAAAGGUUGAUAUCGGUUACGGGUCAGACAAAAAGACCCGUCUUAUUCUUCCAUAGGGUUUUAAGAAGUUUGUGGUGCACAAUGCCAAAGAGUUGGAAGUUCUCAUGAUGCACAACAGGUUAUACGGGUCUUUCUCGUAAAGCGCGGAGGGGUGGAUGAUCGAGUCAAGGUGUAGAUUGUACGGGAGUGGGUCACGUAGUCGUAUAGAUAUUCGUAUUAUUAAACAUAAUAAGCAAGAAUGGAAGAAUGUGAUAUUUUUGUUGAACUAUUUGUGUGAUUGGCACCCCACUGAUCAA